rnacentral:rRNA from 1 species
GACGAACGCUGGCGGCGUGCUUAACACAUGCAAGUCGAACGGAAAGGCCCUUCGGGGUACUCGAGUGGCGAACGGGUGAGUAACACGUGGGUGAUCUGCCCUGCACUUUGGGAUAAGCCUGGGAAACUGGGUCUAAUACCGAAUAGGACCACGCGCUUCAUGGUGUGUGGUGGAAAGCUUUUGCGGUGUGGGAUGGGCCCGCGGCCUAUCAGCUUGUUGGUGGGGUAAUGGCCUACCAAGGCGACGACGGGUAGCCGGCCUGAGAGGGUGACCGGCCACACUGGGACUGAGAUACGGCCCAGACUCCUACGGGAGGCAGCAGUGGGGAAUAUUGCACAAUGGGCGCAAGCCUGAUGCAGCGACGCCGCGUGAGGGAUGACGGCCUUCGGGUUGUAAACCUCUUUCAAUAGGGACGAAGCGCAAGUGACGGUACCUAUGGAAGAAGCACCGGCCAACUACGUG